UCGCCUGUUUAUCAAAAACAUCGCCUCUAGAUUAAUCUAUUAAAGGUCCAUCCUGCCCAGUGAGAAAGUUAAACGGCCGCGGUACUCUGACCGUGCUAAGGUAGCAUAAUCAUUUGCCUCUUAAUUGGUGGCCAGUAUGAAUGGACACACGCAAGCAAUACUGUCUCAUUAAUAUAAAUAAAAAUUAAUCUUCAAGUGAAGAAACUUGAAUAAAAUAAAAAGACAAAAAGACCCUAUGGAGCUUUAUUUAACCCCGCUACAAACACAUGCAAUAAAAUUCAUUCUAAGCGAUAAUAAAUUCAGUUGGGGCGACUAAGGAAAACAAUAAAUCUUCCUAAACAAAAAGAAAAUAAUUCAUUAAAACAUCCGUUAUACGAAUAUAGAUCCAGCUACCCUAGGGAUAACAGGCUAAUUCUCCUCGAGAGCCCAAAUUGACAGGAGAGAUUGGCACCUCGAUGUUGGCUUAGGGUCCCUACAAGAUGCAGAAGUCUUGAAAGUAGGUUUGUUCAACCUUUAAAACCCUACGUGAUCUGAGUUCAGACCGGA
rnacentral:rRNA from 1 species